GGGUUGUGAGGUUAAGCGACUAAGCGUACACGGUGGAUGCCCUGGCAGUCAGAGGCGAUGAAGGACGUGCUAAUCUGCGAUAAGCGCCGGUAAGGUGAUAUGAACCGUUAUAACCGGCGAUUUCCGAAUGGGGAAACCCAGUGUGAUUCGUCACACUAUCAUUAACUGAAUCCAUAGGUUAAUGAGGCGAACCGGGGGAACUGAAACAUCUAAGUACCCCGAGGAAAAGAAAUCAACCGAGAUUCCCCCAGUAGCGGCGAGCGAACGGGGAGGAGCCCAGAGCCUGAAUCAGCAUGUGUGUUAGUGGAAGCGUCUGGAAAGGUGCGCGAUACAGGGUGACAGCCCCGUACACAAAAGCGCAUGUGCUGUGAGCUCGAUGAGUAGGGCGGGACACGUGGUAUCCUGUCUGAAUAUGGGGGGACCAUCCUCCAAGGCUAAAUACUCCUGACUGACCGAUAGUGAACCAGUACCGUGAGGGAAAGGCGAAAAGAACCCCGGCGAGGGGAGUGAAAAAGAACCUGAAACCGUGUACGUACAAGCAGUGGGAG
rnacentral:rRNA from 1 species